AGAGUUUGAUCCUGGCUCAGGACGAACGCUGGCGGUGUGCUUCACACAUGCAAGUCGAACGAGGUAGCAAUACCUAGUGGCGGACGGGUGAGUAACACGUGGGAAUCUGCCCUAAGGUGGGGGAUAGCAGACCGAAAGGUCUAUUAAUACCGCAUAUGUCGCAAGAUGAAAGCAGUAAUGCGCCUUUGGAUGAGCCCGCGUCCGAUUAGCUAGUUGGUAGGGUAAAGGCCUACCAAGGCUCUGAUCGGUAGCUGGUCUGAGAGGAUGAUCAGCCACAAUGGGACUGAGACACGGCCCAUACUCCUACGGGAGGCAGCAGUGGGGAAUUUUACGCAAUGGGGGAAACCCUGACGUAGCGACACCGCGUGAACGAAGAAGCCUUUUGGGGUGUAAAGUUCUGUCAGCAGGAACGAAAAAAAUGACGGUACCUGCAGAGGAAGCAUCGGCUAACUACGUGCCAGCAGCCGCGGUAAGACGUAGGAUGCAAGCGUUGUCCGGAUUCAUUGGGCGUAAAGAGUUCGUAGGCGGUUUAUUAAGUCUGGUGUUAAAGACUGGGGCUCAACCUCGGGACAGCACUGGAUACUGGUAGGCUGGAGUGUGGUAGAGGCAAGCGGAAUUCCAGGUGUAGCGGUGAAAUGCGUAGA
rnacentral:rRNA from 1 species